rnacentral:lncRNA from 1 species
ACUCAAGUAAAGUACCGAUACUCAAAAAGUGUACUUAAGUACAAUACUCAAGUAAAUGUACUUAGUUACUGUCUGGCUCUGGCAGUUUGUGAUGGUGUAAUCGAUUUCUUUUGGCUGCAUGUUUUUGUUUGGUCAGGGGCCUCUGAAGUAGAUCAAAUGCAGUUGUUCAUGUUGUUGGAGACUUGUAUUAUUGUCCGCUAAUCAAAUAACAUAUUCUUCAAUUGAUAAAAGCCUCACACUGGUUUUCAUACUUAAAAGCCACAUACGUGUCUUUACAAGUAUAGAUGAAAGUGAAAGUAAUGUUACUAGCUUAUAUAUACAGCUGCUCUGAGAAGACGGGACAUUCCCUGAAAAGGUUUCAGAAUCGUUCAGUAGCAGUUUGGAUUAGAGGUAACAAUGGAAAAAUCUCCCACUUCUAAUGUGAAGAGCAUCUUUCGCAGAUUUUCUUUAUUUAGAAAAAGCGAUGGGCACAUUAAAAAGAAACAAUCUAUACGGUCAUUAAAAGCAUUUACAUCAGAGGAUAAAGACGGGAAAGUUACCCCAGAGAAAUUUGAAUUUAAGGCCACAGAGAUUCCUCUAAAGCCAUGCUCAGGUAAAUCUCUAGUUAGGUUGUGUUAG